CAUCGGUGACAGGUGGUGGCAUGGUUGUCGUCAGCUCGUGUCGUGAGAUGUGGUUAGUCCGCAACGAGCGCAACCCCUACUUGUUAGUUGCCAUCAUUCAGUUGGGCACUCUAGCGAGACUGCCGGUAAUAAACCGGAGGAAGGUGGGGAUGACGUCAAAUCAUCAUGCCCCUUAUGACCUGGGCUACACACGUGCUACAAUGGUUGGUACAACGAGUUGCGAGUCGGUGACGGCGAGCUAAUCUCUUAAAGCCAAUCUCAGUUCGGAUUGUAGGCUGCAACUCGCCUACAUGAAGUCGGAAUCGCUAGUAAUCGCGGAUCAGCACGCCGCGGUGAAUACGUUCCCGGGCCUU
rnacentral:rRNA from 1 species